rnacentral:snRNA from 1 species
GUGCUCGCUUCAGCGGCACAUAUACUAAAAUAGGAAUGAUACAGAGACGAUUAGCAUGUCCCCUGCGCAAGGAUGACACGCAAAUUCAUGAAGUGUUCCAUAUUAAA